rnacentral:lncRNA from 1 species
GCAUGUGUGUGUGUGUCUGUUGUGUCUUCAAUGAUAACCCUUUGGGUUUGAGAAAUGGUGAUUUCCCUUGGGUUGGUCUCUGUUGUUGAGAUUGAGUUAAAUAUGCAUAAUAUUUUUCUCACCCUCUAUUGUCUUGUCUUUGUGAUAGGAUGAUAGUAAAAAUGGCUGUGAUGAUAAAGCUCGAUUCAAAGGCUGGCUCUUCCCUGGUGACUUAAUGAUCAUUGUGCCAAAGGUGGAAUGUGGAGUGUUGGCCCAAUAUCAUUAAUCCCCCCCCCCCAAGCCCAAGCCCAAGCCCAUCCCCUUUAUACCCUAAAUCCAAAUCAGCCCCCCCCAUUUCAUCACUCCCGUGCGCCGCUGCAAUCUCUCUCUCCCAUCUGCGCCCUUCCAGUUCCCUCCGCCGCCCGACUCCUCGGUUCUCCUUCCGCCUUCAUUUCUCCACCGCCCUUCCACCGCCCCGUCUCCUCGUCUUCCCACCUGCCUUUUGCUCGACCUCUAUUUAUCCCCGCUGCAUUGCUUUCUAUUGUAGUAAGUUUCACACACUGUUUAACCGGAAGGCUCUGCUAUUCCUUCCUGAAGUGUCGCCGGAUUCCUGUUCGUGGUUUCCUGAUUGGUGACUGUGUGUGUGAACCUCGCUCCGAUUGAUUGCGUGUGUCGCCGGAUUCCUGUUAAUUGGAUUCCUGUUUGGUGAUACACUGUGGAUUUUGGUGGCUGUGCAAAGCGAGACUUGAGUGCCGAUUAGUUCUCCAUGUUCCCUUGAGCCGUGAUCAUUAACGCUGCCGGAAGAGCCGAGCCUACCGUGGGAAAAUCUGAGCCAAAGUGUCCCGAGGACACAUUUUCCCACUUCAAUCUUUUCUGCUCUUUCUUACUUUUCUGUCUUCUUUAGUUUCUUUCUUUGAACAGUUUAACUUGCUGUGUUUCUGUUGAUUUGCAGGUACUAGCAGGAAGAAGAGGAAGCAGAAGCUGUGAAGGAGAAAAACAGUAAAAGAAGAAGUGCCUGAGCACGAAGUGAGACGGACCGGAGGUUCGGGAAACAAGAGGAGUAAUCCCGGCAAGGCGAAGAUACCCAACAGUGGUAUCAGAGCCACGGGGACCUUGCCGGGGCUCCCCCCGAACACAUCCCUCUCACCCCGCCGCCCUUUGGCUGCGCCGACUCGCUCCCGACGAGCAAGGUUUUGGUAAGACCGACUCUUCCCCUACCUGGGAAGUCGGCUCUGGUAAAUUGGCUUAAGACCCUAAAACUCCUAGUCAUUAGGAUUGGUGUUGCCUGCUGUUUUUUCUUUGUUGUAUGUUACUGUUUGGUCUUGGUAUCUUGCGAUCCUGAUCUUUUGUGUGCUUCCGCUUGUUGCCUUAUAUCUCGAUAACCCUCUGGCAGUCAAAGCCAAGUGAGGUUCUCCCUUGCAUUUGGUCCAGUUCGUCUGGAUUCUCCUUUAAAGGAGUCUCCUCGUGCGAGUACCCUGGAAAUCAAGGGAGAAAGGGGGCUAUCUAGACAGGCUGUGUGUGCUUUGGUUCCUUAUUGUUUCCGCUGUUGUUUUGCUCUCUCUGGUGUUUCUGCUUUGCUCUGUGGUCUGACUGACCUGUUACUCUGUGAUUGUUGUGGUUUUCUGUGAAAAUUUGUGUUUGCUUAAGUGCUGCAUCUGCAUUCAUCAUGAACAAUAUGCUUUUGGUGCCAUUCAAUGGCAGGGAUGAUUUUCAGGACUGGAAAACCAAAAUAGAAUGCAUUCUUGUUAAGGAGAAGGUUAAUAAGGCUUUAUUAACUAAAAUUGAUAAAACUGUCACUGAUGAAAAAUUGCAUGACAUGAAUGAUAAUGCUAGGGCAACAAUUCUGUUGAAUUUAAGCAGUUCUGUUGUAAGGAAAGUGUCACACUAUGCAUGUGCUAAAGAACUGUGGGAUGAACUAAACUCCAUUUAUGCUGCACCCUCUGAAGUAUCUACUUGGUCUUUGCAAAAUCAGUUUAUGUCUUUCCAAAUGGAUUCUUCUAAAGAUGUUGACACUAAUAUGGAAAUUUUCAAUAAACUGCUUCAUGACUUAAAGCUAAAGAGAGUGAACUGAAAUUGGCUAAGUCAAAGCAUCUGCAUGGUGAGGUCAUGUUUGUUAACAAAGAUAAAAAGGGGUUUGAUCAAAAGCCUAAAAAGCUUUGUUGGAAUUGUGGAAAGCCUGGUCAUUUGUCAAAUAAGUGUAGACUGCCUAAGAAAAACAAGAGCUUUGAACCUGAACAGCGUGCUAACAAUGUGUUUGAAGAAGAUGGAGUCUAUAUGGUGCAUGAUCAUGAUUUUCAGUUCUUAAACUACUCCAAUGCUGUAUGUGCUGAGUCAGUCCCGUGCUUGCUUGAACCCUCACAAUCUGCUGCUCCAAGUGAGGUGGAGAAUGUGAAUGUUGUUGAUCAAAGCAAGUAUGAGCUUGUGUCUACACCCACUGUUUCAUUUGAGGUGGAUCCCCUACCCUUUUUGGGUGCAAACCUCUAAGGCUGCUUGUCUCUUCUUUGUCUUUGUUUUUUCUUUUUGCAUGAUGAGUGUUGUCUUUGAGUUGCCUGUUGUGUUCUGGUCUGUUUGCCUGCUGCUAUCCUGUGUUUGUUUUCUGUUUAUGUUUGUGUGUGAUGGUCUGGUUUUGCUUUGUCUUUUGUUGUCUGCUCUGUGUGUCUUGUGUGAUGUUGCUUGAGUGCAUGUGUGUGUGUGUCUGUUGUGUCUUCAAUGAUAACCCUUUGGGUUUGAGAAAUGGUGAUUUCCCUUGGGUUGGUCUCUGUUGUUGAGACUGAGUUAAAUAUGCAUAAUAUUUUUCUCACCCUCUAUUGUCUUGUCUUUGUGAUAGGAUGGUAGUAAAAAAUGGCUGUGAUGAUAAAGCUCGAUUCAAAGGCUGGCUCUUCCCUGGUGACUUAAUGAUCAUUGUGCCAAAGGUGGAAUGUGGAGUG